UACAGAGGGUGCGAGCGUUGUUCGGAAUUAUUGGGCGUAAAGGGCGCGUAGGCGGUGCGGUAAGUCACCUGUGAAAUCUCCUGGCUCAACUGGGAGCUUGCAGGCGAAACUGCCGUGCUGGAGUGUGGGAGAGGUGCGUGGAAUUCCUGGUGUAGCGGUGAAAUGCGUAGAUAUCAGGAGGAACACCGGUGGCGAAGGCGGGUCUCUGGGCAGUAACUGACGCUGAGGAGCGAAAGCGUGGGGAGCGAACAGG
rnacentral:rRNA from 1 species